rnacentral:rRNA from 1 species
GACGGAGGGUGCAAGCGUUGUUCGGAAUUACUGGGCGUAAAGCGUACGUAGGCGGCGGAUUAAGUCGAAUGUUAAAGCCUGGGGCUCAACCCCAGAGAUGCAUUCGAUACUGGUCUGCUAGAGGGUGAUAGAGGAAAGCGGAAUUCCCAGUGUAGCGGUGAAAUGCGUAGAUAUUGGGAGGAACAUCAGUAGCGAAGGCGCUUUCUGGGUCACACCUGACGCUGAGGUACGAAAGCGUGGGGAGCAAAC